rnacentral:rRNA from 1 species
ACGCUGGCGGCGUGCCUAAUACAUGCAAGUCGAGCGGACCGGAUCGGAGCUUGCUCUGGUUUGGUCAGCGGCGGACGGGUGAGUAACACGUGGGCAACCUGCCCGCAAGACCGGGAUAACUCCGGGAAACCGGAGCUAAUACCGGAUAACACCGAAGACCGCAUGGUCUUUGGUUGAAAGGCGGCCUUUGGCUGUCACUUGCGGAUGGGCCCGCGGCGCAUUAGCUAGUUGGUGAGGUAACGGCUCACCAAGGCGACGAUGCGUAGCCGGCCUGAGAGGGUGACCGGCCACACUGGGACUGAGACACGGCCCAGACUCCUACGGGAGGCAGCAGUAGGGAAUCUUCCGCAAUGGACGAAAGUCUGACGGAGCGACGCCGCGUGAGCGAAGAAGGCCUUCGGGUCGUAAAGCUCUGUUGUGAGGGACGAAGGAGCGCCGUUUGAACAAGGCGGCGCGGUGACGGUACCUCACGAGGAAGCCCCGGCUAACUACGUGCCAGCAGCCGCGGUAAUACGUACGGGGCGAGCGUUGUCCGGAAUUAUUGGGCGUAAAGCGCGCGCAGGCGGUUCCUUAAGUCUGAUGUGAAAGCCCACGGCUCAACCGUGGAGGGUCAUUGGAAACUGGGGGACUUGAGUGCAGGAGAGGAGAGCGGAAUUCCACGUGUAGCGGUGAAAUGCGUAGAGAUGUGGAGGAACACCAGUGGCGAAGGCGGCUCUCUGGCCUG